UGUCAACCCACUUUGCAGAUAAGCCAAUUGAGGCUUAGAGAAACUUGACAAUUGACUCAAGGUCAUACCUCCAGGAUUUAACACUUGUAGUUUGGCGGCAACAUCAGGCACUCAACCGGAUCAUACCCAUCACCUUUGCUGUGACUCAGCAGGAUAUACAUGUUGAAAUCUGCUUUACAGCUCUGAGACUCGAUUUCAUAGGCAGGAACUUUUUCUCUGAUUCCUCAAAGUGAACCUCUGCUUUUGAACUCCUGCAUCUUUUCAUGUGUCUGCUGAUGUCUCCCGCUUGUUCAUCCUUACUGGCAAAGUUCUGAGCUUCCUUGGAGUUGGGAGCUGCUGAAGAUCAUCAUGGAGGGGCUAGAAGAAGAGGAAAGGGGAAGUCGAGGGUGCUCCAGUUGGGAAGCAUGAGAGCUAAAAUCCUCAGUGUUCAUUUCUACAAGUUUCUCCCUGCCAUUAUCCCUCCCAUAGAGGUUUUCUUCAAUGUCAUUUUAUCUCUCAAGAGAUAGAAAUGGACGUUUUUGAGUGAGUACAGAACAUCUGGAGCCAGCACCUGGGAAGGAUGUACCACUUCAUCUUCUUUGAGGCUCUUUUAUAUCUUUGUAGUAAAAUAUG